CCGCGUGGGGGAUGAAGGCCUUCGGGUUGUAACCCCUUUCAGCAGGGAAGAAGCGAAAGUGACGGUACCUGCAGAAGAAGCGCCGGCUAACUACGUGCCAGCAGCCGCGGUAAUACGUAGGGCGCAAGCGUUGUCCGGAAUUAUUGGGCGUAAAGAGCUCGUAGGCGGUUUGUCGCGUCUGCUGUGAAAUCCUGAGGCUCAACCUCGGGCUUGCAGUGGGUACGGGCAGACUAGAGUGCGGUAGGGGUGACUGGAAUUCCUGGUGUAGCGGUGGAAUGCGCAGAUAUCAGGAGGAACACCGAUGGCGAAGGCAGGUCACUGGGCCGCAACUGACGCUGAGGAGCGAAAGCAUGGGGAGCGAACAGGAUUAGAUACCCUGGUAGUCCAUGCCGUAAACGUUGGGCACUAGGUGUGGGGCUCAUUCCACGAGUUCCGUGCCGCAGCAAACGCAUUAAGUGCCCCGCCUGGGGAGUACGGCCGCAAGGCUAAAACUCAAG
rnacentral:rRNA from 1 species